GUGAGGUGAGUUGAUAGGGCAUAUGGCUACCAACCUAAAGGUUGCAGGUUCGAUUCCCGCCCUCUACA